GAUGAACGCUAGCUACAGGCUUAACACAUGCAAGUCGAGGGAACGAUAGAGAAAGCUUGCUUUUUCUAGGCGUCGACCGGCGCACGGGUGAGUAACGCGUAUCCAACCUGCCCACCACUUGGGGAUAACCUUGCGAAAGUAAGACUAAUACCCAAUGACGUCUCUAGAAGACAUCUGAAAGGGAUUAAAGAUUUAUCGGUGAUGGAUGGGGAUGCGUCUGAUUAGCUUGUUGGCGGGGUAACGGCCCACCAAGGCGACGAUCGGUAGGGGUUCUGAGAGGAAGGUCCCCCACAUUGGAACUGAGACACGGUCCAAACUCCUACGGGAGGCAGCAGUGAGGAAUAUUGGUCAAUGGACGCAAGUCUGAACCAGCCAAGUAGCGUGCAGGAUGACGGCCCUAUGGGUUGUAAACUGCUUUUAUGCGGGGAUAAAGUGUGGGACGUGUCCCAUAUUGUAGGUACCGCAUGAAUAAGGACCGGCUAAUUCCGUG
rnacentral:rRNA from 1 species